rnacentral:rRNA from 1 species
CAUGAUUCUAUGCAUGGUGGUGCAUGGCCGUUCUUAGUUGGUGGAAUGAUCUGUCAGGUUAAUUCCGAUAACGAACGAGACCCCACCCAUCUAACUAGCUGUUACUACUUCGGUAGUGUUUGCGCAAGCAUAAACAGCUUCUUAGAGGGACUAUCUGUGUCAGCAGGUGGAAGUUUGGGGCAAUAACAGGUCAGUGAUGCCCUUAGAUGCUCUGGGCUGCACGCGCGCUACAAUGGUGCAUUCAGCGAGUUUAACCUUGCUUGAAAAAGCUGGGUAAUCUUUAAAAUGCAUCUCAGUUGGGAUAGAUGAUUGCAAUUAUUCAUCUUGAACAAGGAAUAUCUAGUAAACGCAAGUCAUCAACUUGCAUUGAUUACGUCCCUGCCCUUUGUACACACCGCCCGUCGCUCCUACCGAUUGAAUAAUCCGGUGAAUUGAGUGAGUUGAGGCACACCUUCAUGGUGGUGCUUCAAGAAUCUCUGUGAACCUUAUUA